rnacentral:rRNA from 1 species
CGAACCCGCGAAACCCAUUCGGAAUUCUUUUUGCAAGCAGGCGAUAACGACGGUGAGCUGCAAAAAGCUUUGAUCCGUCGGUUUCCGAAUGGAGCAAUCCGGCAGGAGAAGAUCCUGUCAUCCUAACGCCAAUCCAUAACGUUAGGAGGGGAGACCCGGAGAACUGAAACAUCUCAGUACCCGGAGGAAAAGAAAGAAAACUCGAUUCCCUCAGUAGCGGCGAGCGAACGGGGAACAGGCCAACAGUGAAUCACGAUUCUGAAAUCUAGCGGAAGUUUCUGGAAAGGAACACCAAAGACGGUGACAGUCCGGUACGCGAAAGAAGAAGGAAUCAUCACGAAAGAGUACCAUCGAACACGAGAAAUUUGGUGGGAACAUGGGAGGACCACCUCCUAAGCCUAAAUACGAUCAUGUGACCGAUAGUGAACUAGUACCGUGAGGGAAAGGUGAAAAGAACCCCGGAAGGGGAGUGAAAAGAAUCUGAAACCUUGUGCUUACAAGCAGAUAGAGCCCAUUUAUGGGUGAUAUCGUACUUUUUGUAGAACGGGCCAGCGAGUUAUGUUUACAAGCGAGGUUAAGCCUUUUAGGGGCGGAGCCGGAGGGAAACCGAGUGUGAAUAGCGCGACAGUUUGUGGACAUAGACCCGAAACCGGGUGAUCUAGCCAUGAGCAGGUUGAAGUUGAAGUAAAAUUCAAUGGAGGACCGAACCGGGAGCGGUUUAAAACGCUUCGGAUGACUUGUGGUUAGGGGUGAAAAGCCAAUCGAACUCGGAGAUAGCUGGUUCUCCUCGAAAUCGCUUUAGGGCAAGCCUCAUUGAGAGAUGGAGGGAGGUAGAGCACUGACUGGUCGCAGGGCACUCUGUGUUACUAACACCUAUCAAACUUCGAAUUCCGUUCAUUACCAAUGGGAGUGAGACGAUGUGGGAUAAGCUUCAUCGUCAAAAGGGAAACAGCCCAGAUCAUCAGCUAAGGUCCCAAAAUGACGUUCAGUGGAAAAGGAUGUUAUUUUACUUGGACAACCAGGAUGUUGGCUUAGAAGCAGCCAUACAUUUAAAGAGUGCGUAAUAGCUCACUGGUCGAGUGAAGUUGCGCCGAAGAUACACGGGGCUAAACGUCAUACCGAAGCUAUGGGAUGGAUCGAGACGAAAAGUAUUUUAUGAAAGCUUUCCAAAAAUUGAUGAGAAAUAUCGCACACAAAGAGUCAAAUUUCAACAAACAUGAGAUACGACAGAAAAAAGCCAAAUGGUAUAAGGUUAUUCCAAGAUAUCAUUCAUCAAUUUCAUUGGGCUAAUAAAGGAAGGCGUAUUCAUAGAAUACUUUUUGUCUCGACCAUCGGUAGAGGAGCAUCGACUACACAUUGAAGCAUCAAGGGUAACCUAUUGUGGAGCGUAGUCGAGAGAGAAUGCUGGCAUGAGUAGCGAGAAGGUGAGUGAGAAUCUCACCCGUCGAAAGCCGAAGGGUUCCUGAGCAAGGCUCGUCCUCUCAGGGUAAGUCGGGACCUAAGCUGAGGCCGAAAGGCGUAGGCGAUGGACAACCGGUGGAAAUUCCGGUACAGUAAAGAAUCGUUUGAGAGAAGUGUUGACGCAGGAAGCUACGCAAAGCGCGUUGAAGGUAUGCGCGUCCAACGAAGUAGGCUAGUCCGGCAGGCAAAUCCGUCGGAUGGUGCUGAGUUCGGAUGGGGAUCGAAAUUUAAGUAGAGAAGUUGCCGAUGCUACACUGCCAAGAAAAGACGCUAUCGAGAUUUUUUGCUCCCGUACCAAAACCGACACAGGUAGGCAGGAAGAAAAUUCUAAGACGCGCGGAAGAACCUUUGUUAAGGAACUCGGCAAAAUGACCCCGUAACUUCGGGAGAAGGGGUGCCAUCUUCGGAUGGCCGCAGAGAAUCGGCCCAAGCGACUGUUUACCAAAAACACAAGUAUCUGCGAAGCCGCAAGGCGAAGUAUAGGUGCUGACACCUGCCCGGUGCUGGAAGGUCAAGGGGAGUUGUUAGAAGCAAUUCGAAGCGACGAACUUAAGCCCCAGUAAACGGCGGCCGUAACUAUAACGGUCCUAAGGUAGCGAAAUUCCUUGUCGGGUAAGUUCCGACCCGCACGAAAGGUGUAAC